rnacentral:tRNA from 1 species
GCCUUCGUGGUGUAGUGGUCAGCACACUCGACGUUGUAACCUAGAUGUCCGUGGUUCGAUUUCCGGCGAGGGCA